rnacentral:rRNA from 1 species
GAUGAACGCUAGCGACAGGCUUAACACAUGCAAGUCGAGGGGCAGCGGGGAGUAGCAAUACUCUGCCGGCGACCGGCGCACGGGUGAGUAACGCGUAUGCAACUUACCUAUCAGAGGAGAAUAGCUCAUCGAAAGAAAGAUUAAUACCUGAUGGUAUCUUAAGCACACAUGUAAUUAAGAUUAAAGAUUUAUCGGUGUACGAUGGGGAUGCGUUCCAUUAGGUAGUAGGCGGGGUAACGGCCCACCUAACCUACGAUGUCUAGGGGUUCUGAGAGGAAGGUCCCCCACAUUGGAACUGAGACACGGUCCAA